AGAGUUUGAUCCUGGCUCAGGAUGAACGCCGGCGGUGUGCCUAAUACAUGCAAGUCGUACGCACUGGCCCAACUGAUUGAUGGUGCUUGCACCUGAUUGACGAUGGAUCACCAGUGAGUGGCGGACGGGUGAGUAACACGUAGGUAACCUGCCCCGGAGCGGGGGAUGACAUUUGGAAACAGAUGCUAAUACCGCAUAACAACAAAAGCCACAUGGCUUUUGUUUGGAAGAUGGCUUUGGCUAUCACUCUGGGAUGGACCUGCGGUGCAUUAGCUAGUUGGUAAGGUAACGGCUUACCAAGGCGAUGAUGCAUAGCCGAGUUGAGAGACUGAUCGGCCACAAUGGAACUGAGACACGGUCCAUACUCCUACGGGAGGCAGCGGUAGGGAAUCUUCCACAAUGGGCGCAAGCCUGAUGGAGCAACACCGCGUGAGUGAAGAAGGGUUUCGGCUCGUAAAGCUCUGUUGUUGGAGAAGAACGUGCGUGAGAGUAACUGUUCACGCAGUGACGGUAUCCAACCAGAAAGUCACGGCUAACUACGUGCCAGCAGCCGCGGUAAUACGUAGGUGGCAAGCGUUAUCCGGAUUUAUUGGGCGUAAAGCGAGCGCAGGCGGUUGCUUAGGUCUGAUGUGAAAGCCUUCGGCUUAACCGAAGAAGUGCAUCGGAAACCGGGCAACUUGAGUGCAGAAGAGGACAGUGGAACUCCAUGUGUAGCGGUGGAAUGCGUAGAUAUAUGGAAGAACACCAGUGGCGAAGGCGGCUGUCUGGUCUGCAACUGACGCUGAGGCUCGAAAGCAUGGGUAGCGAACAGGAUUAGAUACCCUGGUAGUCCAUGCCGUAAACGAUGAGUGCUAGGUGUUGGAGGGUUUCCGCCCUUCAGUGCCGGAGCU
rnacentral:rRNA from 1 species